AAUGAGGGUUAGGGUUUUAGCCUCAGAGUUUUAGAGAUGGCAGAGGAGCUGCGGAGGAAGUUUGAGGGAAGGAAAUGGGUGGACUGGUGGAGUAGGAUAAUACACUAUGACAAUGGAUUAGGUUUUGGGCCGGACGCAGGCAUAAGCUCGAGUUGGGCUCAGGCCUAGAGUUUGAAAAACCAAAAAGUCAGGCCUAAGCCCGACCUGAAGUAUGAAACAAUUUUGGGUUAGUCUCAGGCAAGGGCAAGGCUCAACCCGGCUUGUCGUCAUCGUCGUCCCUACCACCUCUAAUGCCACCAUACCACUUUCUUCACCGUUGCUCUUGCAGCCACCAUCA
rnacentral:lncRNA from 1 species